rnacentral:rRNA from 1 species
GAUGAACGCUGGCGGCGUGCUUUACACAUGCAAGUCGAACGGAAAGGCUCCUGCUUGCAGGGGUACUCGAGUGGCGAACGGGUGAGUAACACGUGGGUGAUCUGCCCUGCACUUCGGGAUAAGCCUGGGAAACUGGGUCUAAUACCGGAUAGGACGAUGGUUUGGAUGCCAUUGUGGAAAGUUUUUCGGUGUGGGAUGAGCUCGCGGCCUAUCAGCUUGUUGGUGGGGUAAUGGCCUACCAAGGCGUCGACGGGUAGCCGGCCUGAGAGGGUGUACGGCCACAUUGGGACUGAGAUACGGCCCAGACUCCUACGGGAGGCAGCAGUGGGGAAUAUUGCACAAUGGGCGCAAGCCUGAUGCAGCGACGCCGCGUGGGGGAUGACGGCCUUCGGGUUGUAAACUCCUUUCGCUAGGGACGAAGCGCAAGUGACGGUACCUGGAGAAGAAGCACCGGCUAACUACGUG